rnacentral:rRNA from 1 species
CAGCUGAACGAGACGCAGGACUUCGGUCCUGUGGAAAGUGGCGAACGGGUGCGUACACGUGAGCAACCUGCCCCUAAGUACGGAAUAGCCCACCGAAAGGUGGAUUAAUACCGCAUGUGACCCUUUACCUCAUGGUGAAGUGGUUAAAGCUUGUAACGGCGCUUAGGGAUGGGCUCGCGGCCUAUCAGCUUGUUGGUGAGGUAAAGGCUCACCAAGGCUAAGACGGGUAGCUGGUCUGAGAGGAUGAUCAGCCACACCGGGACUGAGACACGGCCCGGACACCUACGGGUGGCAGCAGUUUCGAAUCAUUCACAAUGGGCGAAAGCCUGAUGAUGCAAUGCCGCGUGGAGGAUGACGGCCCUAGGGUUGUAAACUCCUGUCAUUAGGGAACAACAAGUAGGUUCAUAGCCUACCCUGAGUUAACCUAAAGAGGAAGAGGUGGCUAACUCCGUGCCAGCAGCCGCGGUAAUACGGAGACCUCGAGCGUUACUCGGAUUUACUGGGCGUAAAGGGUGAGCAGGCGGCCAGGUGUGUCAGGUGUGAAAUCCCGGGGCUUAACCCCGGAACUGCGCCUGAAACUACCUGGCUAGAGUCUCGGAGAGGACAGUGGAAUUCUAGGUGUAGCGGUGAAAUGCGUAGAUAUCUAGAGGAACACCAGUGGCGAAGGCGACUGUCUGGACGAAUAAUGAAGCUCAACAAGAAAGAGUGGGUAGCGAAGGGAUAGAUACCCGGUAGCCACGCCGAAACGUUGUGCACAAUC